rnacentral:lncRNA from 1 species
UUUCUAAAAGGAAGCACACAUGUUUGCUUUUUAUCCGUAUGCAUUUAUGAUGAAGGUAAGCCGCACCAAGCUGGAGUAGUUCUAUUUCUGCCGGUUGCCUUUAAGAUUAAGAAUUUUUUUUGCCUCUGUUCUCUAUACAAAGUACAAUGAUAACAAACACAUUAUAUGCAAUUCUUUAACCAUUAUGGCCUCUAAUUUAUGCAUCAAGGAGACAUAGCUUUUAUAGUGCUGGCAUACUGAACUGCACGAAAAAAAAAAAAAUUAAAAAUUCAUCUUGUUGAUCAUAAUCUAUAUAUUUAAUAUAUAUAUAAUUGAAGAGCAAUAAAUAAUAAUGUUAGA